CCCCACUUAAUCACCCAAGUCAUAAUCUCUCCUUCCCCUUUACAGAUAAACCCUGGUGUCUAACACAUUCUACUUUCAUCUCUACCCUCAUCAAGAGGGUGACAUUCUUCUCUCAAGGUUUUGGGGAUACAGGAGGUGAGAGAAGACUUUAUUCCUGAAUCAUGGAAAUGAACACACUGAAAUCAGAUCUUCCUUCCCGGUGUGGAUUUGUUCCCAGGUGUCAGUCUGCAGCGUUGGGUCACCGACCAGCUGCAAUGCUGCACAGAUGAGGACUAGGCUCGGAGAGUUGGGAACUAGUCAAGAACUCAAGUUAAUCAGUCACGGCUGGGAACGAACCCUUCACCUAAUGCUUUUUCCUAAAAGUGGAUCGCUUGGAUUCAGGCCUAGCUUUGUUACGAGCAAGAGCGGGAGCAUAUCGUUUCACCUCUCUGGGCCUCAGUUUCCCCUUUUGUUAAGGUAAGAAGCUGAGAUGUGAUACUAUCUAAAGUUCCUUUCCUCUAUAAUAUGGGAUAACUCACCUGUAGUCCAGAUUUGAUCUCAGUUUAGCACCACUUUUGGAAACUUAUGGGUUGCUCCUCAUACUGUACAGACAAUUUCUCUCUGCUCAAACACCUGAUAGAUAUUUCUCAGAACAGGAGAUAGUUGCCUUUGGUGAAGGCUCCAAUCCAGGACCAUUCAUUUUUUACCCUGGCUUUAUUGAUGUGUAAAUUGGAAUUAAAAAGGCCUGCUUGUAGGGCUGGGAAAUAAAAGAGAAGUAGUUUAAACUGUUUAUGAGCUAUAGCUUUAUGAUGUCUUUUCCACAUUCUCUCCUUUUUUGGCUGGAGAUUUUCCCU